rnacentral:rRNA from 1 species
CAUCUUAUUUCUUUUAAAGACCUAGUAAUAGGUAUACUUUAGGAGGGGCUUGCGCCAUAUUAGUUAGUUGGUAGGGUAAUGGCCUACCAAGACGAUGAUGUGUAGCUGGACUGAGAGGUUGAACAGCCACAUUGGGACUGAGACACGGCCCAAACUCCUACGGGAGGCAGCAGUAAGGAAUUUUCGGCAAUGGAGGAAACUCUGACCGAGCAACGCCGCGUGAACGACGAAGUACUUUGGUAUGUAAAGUUCUUUUAUCAAGGAAGAAAAGCAAGUGGCGAACCAUUUGUUUGCCGGUACUUGAUGAAUAAGCCCCGGCUAAUUAUGUGCCAGCAGCCGCGGUAAGACAUAAGGGGCAAGUGUUAUCCGGAAUUAUUGGGCGUAAAGGGUGCGUAGGCGGUCUAGUAAGUCAGUGGUGUAAUGGCAACGCUCAACGUUGUCCGGCUAUUGAAACUGCUAAACUUGAGUUAGAUAGAGGCGAGUGGAAUUCCAUGUGUAGCGGUAAAAUGCGUAAAUAUAUGGAGGAACACCAGAGGCGUAGGCGGCUCGCUGGGUCUUAACUGACGCUGAGGCACGAAAGCGUGGGGAGCAAACAGGAUUAGAUACCCUGGUAGUCCACGCCGUAAACGAUGAGUACUAAGUGUCGGGUUAAACCGGUACUGAAGUUAACACAUUAAGUACUCCGCCUGAGUAGUACGUACGCAAGUAUGAAACUUAAAGGAAUUGACGGGACUCCGCACAAGCGGUGGAUCAUGUUGUUUAAUUCGAAGAUACCCGAAAAACCUUACCAGGUCUUGACAUGUUUUUGCGAAACGGUAGUAAUAUCGUAGAGGUUAUCAGAAACACAGGUGGUGCAUGGUUGUCGUCAGCUCGUGUCGUGAGAUGUUAGGUUAAGUCCUAAAACGAGCGAAACCCUUAUCGUUAGUUGCCAGCACGUUAUGGUGGGGACUUUAACGAGACUGCCAGUGAUAAACUGGAGGAAGGUGAGGAUCACGUCAAAUCAGCAUGCCCCUUAUGACCUGGGCUACAAACGUGAUACAAUGGCUGUUACAAAGGGUAGCUGAAACGUAAGUUCUUGGCCAAUCCCCAAAAACAGUCUCAGUCCGGAUUGAAGUCUGCAACUCGACUUCAUGAAGUUGGAAUCGCUAGUAAUCGCGAAUCAGCAUGUCGCGGUGAAUACGUUCUCGGGGUUUGUACACACCGCCCGUCAAACCACGAAAGUUGGCAAUACCCCAAAAUGGUAGCCUAACUCGUUUAUUCGAGAGGGCGCUGUCUAAGGUAGGGUCGAUGAUUGGGGUUAAGUCGUAACAAGGUAUCCCUACCGGAAGGUGGGGAUGGAUCACCUCCUUUCU